AUUGAACGCUGGCGGCAGGCCUAACACAUGCAAGUCGAACGGUAACAGGAAGCAGCUUGCUGCUUCGCUGACGAGUGGCGGACGGGUGAGUAAUGUCUGGGAAGCUGCCUGAUGGAGGGGGAUAACUACUGGAAACGGUAGCUAAUACCGCAUAAUGUCGCAAGACCAAAGAGGGGGACCUUCGGGCCUCUUGCCAUCGGCUGUGCCCAGAUGGGAUUAGCUUGUUGGUGGGGUAACGGCUCACCAAGGCGACGAUCCCUAGCUGGUCUGAGAGGAUGACCAGCCACACUGGAACUGAGACACGGUCCAGACUCCUACGGGAGGCAGCAGCGGGGAAUAUUGCACAAUGGGCGCAAGCCUGAUGCAGCCAUGCCGCGUGUAUGAAGAAGGCCUUCGGGUUGUAAAGUACUUUCAGCGGGGAGGAAGGGAGUAAAGUUAAUACCUUUGCUCAUUGACGUUACCCGCAGAAGAAGCACCGGCUAACUCCGUG
rnacentral:rRNA from 1 species